UACGUAGGUCCCAAGCGUUAUCCGGAAUUACUGGGCGUAAAGCGUCUGUAGGCGGGUAAGUAAGUUUUGUAUUAAAGGCCAGGGCUCAACCCUGUGUUCGUGCAAAAAACUGCUAACCUAGAAUUAGGGAGGGGUAAGCGGAAUGGUAUGAGUAGAGGUGCAAUUCGUAGAUACAUACCAGAACACCAAAAGCGAAGGCAGCUUACUGGAACUAUAUUGACGCUGAGAGACGAAAGCGUGGGGAGCGAAAAGG
rnacentral:rRNA from 1 species